AGAAGGGCGUGUUGUCUCUAUUUAAACCUCUGGAUUUACACAGAUUACACAGACGCACUUUACAGAAGCCUACCUGUAAAACAUCGUCACAGCGCAUCCGCUCUCCAGAAAUCUUUGAAAAUGUCAGACAAAAACCCUCAAAAUGAACUCAGGAGUGGGAUUGAGGGCUAUGAUCCGAAACAGAUGAAGAAGGUUGUCACGAAAGAAAAAAAUCCACUCCCUACACAGUGCCAGAUUGACGAGGAGAAGAAGGCCCAAAUGUGCCCUGAAAAGAGCAAAAAAUAAUUUCUCUCAUUGACUUCUGGGCUGCUCUUCCUCCUUUCAAGAAUGUUGACCAUCAUCUCCACUUCCUCCUCUGUGUUCUGUGCAGCCAUGUUUGAUUUGAAACAGUGUAUGGUGUUUGGGAAAAAUCUGUCUAUAAUCAAUUAAACUCUUGCAAUGGGUGAUUUGUUUUCCUUUGCUAUGCAGUUUAAGGGGGGCUGAGCAGUGUAAAACAAUGAUUUGGAAGGGUCAUGGUUCAUAAAUAGAAGAAAAUUAUUUUAUAAAUGGAAAUUAAAACCACUGAAUUGUUAAUAAAACCAUAACUAUGUCUGUAAUUUGUGCCAUACAGGACAUGUUCUGAAAAUGAAUCCAUAAAAUGAUAUUUUACUUUUAAUAAAAUGUAUGAAAAAUGUU